GCCUGCCCCGCCUCAGGAAGAGGACUAUCACUUGAAAUGAGUAAAACUUUCCACAUGUCCAUUGUCUUAGCCUCCCCCACUGACCCACAGUAAAAAUAAAAGUCAGCACUUAUGGGGCUGGGUGUCCAAAUGGAUUCUUUCUAUACAAGCCAAAAAGAUCAGCAUUGGGUGAAGCAAAAUUGGUACAAGUGCUCAAAUAUUUUUUGAGCAGCUAUGUUCUCUAAGUAUAGCUUUUUACUAAAAAUAAAAACAUUUUAUCUUUCAACUGUAUUACCCAGCAAAAUAGUUACUCUUCUGCAUCAUAUGAUUUUACUACUUUAUUUUUCUGUAUACUAAGGAACCUUUACAUACUGAGCAGUGCCUCUGACAAGAAAUGUCUGCUGUCUACUCAAAGUGAUGUCCAAUAAAUCCUCCAAGUGGAAAUGAAAAUGAGUCUCAAAGAGAGAAGAGAAGGAAUGGAGGAAGUACUGUCCACUGGCUAGGGCACAGGUCUAGGACUCCAGAAACUAAGACUCCAGUCCUUAUUUCUCCAUAGGUUUCCUCUGCACCCACGGGAUGCUAUAAGGAUAAAUAAAUUAAAAUUGAGAUGCCAUGAAUUCAACAGGAUGCCUUCAGAAAAUGAGCUCAUGCUGGGUACAACCAACCCUCACCUGAAAGCACCUGGAUCUCAGUCAAAGUGCAUUUAUUAACAAUUCUUCCACCUCCUUCUUGAACACUGCUCUGCAUAGUUUUACUGAUGCCUUCCCUAUGGUUGUUCAACAUCCAUAUGAAGCCAUUUUCAGAAGUGGUGAGACAACAAUGGAUGAAGUGCCAGCAGCACAUAAACCUGUCUUGCAGCUGGUUUAUGUCAACAAAUAUCACCAGAUUUCCAUAUUCUUAGCUGAGAUCAACAUUCAGAUGAUGAGCACCUGGCUACAGCUGAGUCCAGAGAAGAUUGAGCUGAUUACUUCAAAGAACUUUAUGUCUAUAUAACAUCUCAAAUCAUAACAAAUAAGUAUAUCGCUAGAGCUCCUAGAUGCAAUGAUAAAACUAAUAUUAACAAAGGAAUCUGCCACUCUGACUCUGAAAUCAUUCUGAAGCCUUCAGGUUUCUCUGGUACUCUCCAGUGCUAUUAUAUGUCCAGAUAACUAAUAGCAAAAAUAAAUGCUCACAUACAACCUGUGAUUGGUAAAAAGCUUGUAUGUUCAUCCUAUUGGACAUACACUUACGUAUAGUAGUUUGUUCAUCCAUCCAUCUAUGAAGUCUGGCCUUGUUCACUGCAAGAAUUAUUUUCUAAAAAUGAAUCUACCUACUCUAAAAGCUCAAGUAGUGCAACUAGCUGUUCAGUGACAAAGAAGUAUGUGAACAUAUCUCCCUAUUAUCCAUUUUCUGCACUGAUUGCUACUUAACAAAGUCCAGUCUGUGGUCUUGGUUCUGAUAUUCAAAUCCUUCCAUACGUGCUAACUACUGAAGAAAUUGUCUCUCUUUAUAAUUGUGGAUUCCCAAUAACAUGGUAUGAACCCUCGGUACAAUAAAAAUAGUUAGUGGGAGGUGGGGAGAGGCUCUUGAAUGAAGAAGACUAUCUAUGGUAGAAAUAAGUUCUGAGGUUUUACCCAAAUUUUGUUGGUUUGACUUGGCUUUCUCUUAACAAACUAUAUAUAUAAAUGGCAACACACAGGGGGUGCAUAGGGGUGCACAUGCACCCCAUAAGAGCACUGGUGCACCCCCUGACAGCAGCAUUCCCACACUUAGGUGACGGGUAAGGGGGGCAGGCGAGAGAACUGGUGCCCCCCCUGAGAGCACCGGCCAAGGAGUGGAGAUGCCAGGAGAAGUGGUCCCCACGGUCCUCUCAUGGCCAAUCACGCUGACCUGGGGAGGGGGGUUCCCCCAUGGCCAAUCAUGCCAUCCCGAUUGGCCCUGGGGGGGGCAAGUGCGCUGACUUAGGAGGCACCUGUCACCCAUGACAUAUAUGCACCAAAGCAAGAGGAACACCUAUAAACUAAUCAAACUAUUGCUUUUUCUAUAAAAGAAAAGAAGGAAAGAGGAAAAGAAGAUAGAAAUUAUUAUUAUUUUCAUUUUUGAUUUUAAAUACUUGAGAGGUGCUCCCACACUAGACCAUGUGAACCAUAUAAGCAGUUAAAUAAACAGAUGCUAACUAAUUCCAGUUUCAGUUCAAUGCCUUGCAAAAUGCAUCUUCGCUAAAAGACAUUUUCUGUAUAUUGCACACAUUUUCCUUGCAGAAUUUACUCUCCCCAUUCUGUUUUGAUUUGACCAUGCCUGGUACAAAGCAAUGCAUUGACCCUAACAGAUGCAUAAUUAUUUGAGGGUUCUGCUGUGUCAAUAUCUAUCAUUCUUUCCCAGCAUGACCAAUUUUUCUGUUUCCAUUUCUACACUCUCUGCUUCUUUUCCAUUGUUUAUUUCUUGAGUUAUCACCAUCCUUUUUUUUUUUUCCAUUCCUCUGAUGUCUGUCAUUGUUCCUCAGCUUCUCUUUAGCUACAAUCUCUUUACACUUGGGUGAUGCAGUCAGCUUAUUAGAAACUGUCAUCCUUCUGACUGCUUUUCCCCUCAUACUAAAGUUAUUCCCAUUUUUAAAGGUAUCUUUAGAAAAUUAUAGUCUGUGUGUAUAUAUGUGUGUGUACGUGUGAGUGCAUGCAUACAUGCACUAUUUCAAAGGGAAAUUGAAAUUUGAUUCUCUGGCUCAAACACCAAUCUUAUUGUUAAAUGGAGCUGUUAUACCUAAUAGCAAAAGAAGUAGAUGCCUCUUUCUCUUCACUAAUUAUAUGUGCAAUCUGGUUAAUAAGGCCAAAAAUCAAACAUUGUUAUUCUUGUGCCUUUCUUGAGCACUCCACAGAAUUCUGGACAAUGAACUUUGUGAGGAUGUCCACUGGUAGGAGGAAGGGGAGUGGAAAGGACAGGAGUUGGCCACUGACAGCUGUCUUCAGUCACUUUCAUUUUGCUGCUGCUAGCACAAAACCUGACCUUACUACCCAUAGGUUAAGAAGUACAUACUCUCAAGGAGCCACAGAAGUCCUCCUGCUUAGCCAACUCAGGAACCGAAGGAGAACCCAUUUCUCAUUUGGAUUUCCACCCCCUCCCCCCCAACUCAGUCAGUUCCACUUAUUGACAGCACAGAUGGCAAAACAGCCCACCACUAUUGUGGUAGUAAUGAAUUCCGAAUGGAUUAUUUGGGGAAGACUAGGGGAACACAGUGGAACAAAUGGGCUGCCUGUUGAUUUGAAUAGCUUAAUCCUUAUGUAUCCAUAGCUGAAAGGAAAUUUUAGAUGCCUAUAUGA